GACAGUAGCUCGAGGACACUUAUUCCCUAAGCGAGAAUCCUUGACUUUCACGACGCCUGAACCAGUGGGACCGCCCCAUCAUGAGCUGUGAACCUCCAGAUGAAUAAAGGAGAGGAAGGAAAUGAGAAGGAACAUGACUUCCCUGCUGUUGACAUGCCUGGUGCCUACCCAAAUUGUAAUCGGGCCCCCAUUAUUGGC